rnacentral:tRNA from 1 species
GGAACAGUGGCCGAGUGGCUGAAGGCGCCGGUCUUGAAAACCGGAGAAGCUGAAAGGCUUCCGAAGGUUCGAAUCCUUCCUGUUCCG